rnacentral:rRNA from 1 species
UUGGGAGCUCUCCCAUAUGGUCGACCUGCAGGCGGCCGCGAAUUCACUAGUGAUUCGUAUUACCGCGGCUGCUGGCACAGAGUUAGCCGGUGCUUAUUCUGUCGGUAACGUCAAAACAGCAAAGUAUUAAUUUACUGCCCUUCCUCCCAACUUAAAGUGCUUUACAAUCCGAAGACCUUCUUCACACACGCGGCAUGGCUGGAUCAGGCUUUCGCCCAUUGUCCAAUAUUCCCCACUGCUGCCUCCCGUAGGAGUCUGGACCGUGUCUCAGUUCCAGUGUGACUGAUCAUCCUCUCAGACCAGUUACGGAUCGUCGCCUUGGUGAGCCAUUACCCCACCAACUAGCUAAUCCGACCUAGGCUCAUCUGAUAGCGCAAGGCCCGAAGGUCCCCUGCUUUCUCCCGUAGGACGUAUGCGGUAUUAGCGUCCGUUUCCGAACGUUAUCCCCCACUACCAGGCAGAUUCCUAGGCAUUACUCACCCGUCCGCCGCUCUCAAGAGAAGCAAGCUUCUCUCUACCGCUCGACUUGCAUGUGUUAGGCCUGCCGCCAGCGUUCAAUCUGAGCCAUGAUCAAACUCUAAUCG